rnacentral:lncRNA from 1 species
CCAUAUCCACCAAUUUAAAUUAUUUUAUAAAAAUUAAAAGAAUAGCCAAAAAAAAAAAAGGCCAGGGGAUGAAUCCCCCUUUCUCCAUUGCCCAUUUGCCCUCUUCAACAUACACCUCUUUCCCCAUUCCUCCGCCCCCGUGUUCCCCCAAACAGAUCUCCCAAUCCAAAUUUAGCAAAACCUAAUUUCAAAAUCAUCUUCUUAUGGAUAGACGGCAAGAAAAUUGAAAAAUCCCCACAACGGCGAUAAUAGCUAAAGAUCAAAUCUUUACGCCAAAAAGUUGAUUUUAAUCAAUCGGCGAUGCGCCAUCGGAAGUCAUCGGAAUUAAAUAGACCAGGAUCCCACCUCCUUAAUCAACCAGAAACCGACCCACCUCGUUAUCGGGGCGUCCGUAAACGGCCAUGGGGCCGAUUUGCUGCGGAGAUUAGAGAUCCGAUCAAAAAGACUCGAGUUUGGCUUGGCACCUUCGAUACAGCUGAAGAUGCUGCACGCGCUUACGACGAUGCUGCACGCGCUCUCGACGAUGCUGCACGCGCUCUCCGUGGACCUAGAGCCAAAAUUAAUUUCCCUAAUUUAGCAGCUAUAACAACACAACAGGAGUUAUGCUUUAUGCAUGACAUAAAAAGACUCGAGUUUGGCUUGGCACCUUCGAUACAGCUGAAGAUGCUGCACGCGCUUACGACGAUGCUGCACGCGCUCUCCGUGGACCUAAAGCCAAAACUAAUUUCCCUAAUUUGGGAGCUAUAACAACACAACAGGAUAAUAGUCCAUAUGGAUCGAAUCAAUUUGAGCUUUUUCCUAAUUCGAGACCGGCUUCUAGCAGCAUGAGCAGCACGUUGGA